GCAGAAGUGAAACAGUGCUGUAGCCACCCCACCUCUUGCCUGGGGCAGGCACAGGAUCUGGCAGAGCCCUGGUGGCUCCAAUCUCUCAGGCAAGACUGCGGCCACACAGGGGACGGGUUUGCUGCCACAUGUGUUGCACGGCGUCUCAAGGGUGGCUUGCAGAGGAGGGUAGGGAGGGUUCUGUCAGGUACUACUCCCUUCCUUAACGAGCAGGAGGCACCUUUCUGGCUGGGAUUGGAUUUGCCAAUACUGACAGAGCCAGGGCUGCUCACACAGCGAGUGGUCCUGGAGCAGAGGCACCCAGAGGGAUCACACGGGUGAGAUCAAGCUGGGAUUUGGUCCUUGUCCUUCACAAGCAAGAAGGUGCUUUGGCAGUUUGCCUGAAUGCUGGAAGGAGAAGGCAGCUCCGAUGCUGCUGCAGCUUCCCCGGCUGCCAGGGGAAGUAAUAGAAUCUUAGAAUCAUCCAGGUUGGAAAAGAUCACCUGUAAGAUCGUCGAGUCAGGUCUUCAUGUGUUUGUUCAUGAAAUGAAAGACGGCUGGGUGAGCCUGCUUUCUACUCCUCUGGCCUGCCUUCUGCAGCCCACAGGGGAUCUUUCCGUCUCGGGAUGACGCCUCCCCUCACGUCUCACAGGCACUCAAACACUGCCUGAGUGGGGACACAUCCUGGGCAGAUGUCAAACCUGUGCCCUGCGUGCGAGGGUGACGCGGGGGAAGGCGCUGGUACAAGCCCGUGCACUCGCAGGCACCACGGACCGUGCUGGGCACAGCACCGGGGGACACGGACCCUGUCCGGGUGUGCUCGGGUUGUCCCCUGUCCCCAGGCUGCCGCUCCCCCGCUGCCGUGGCCGGAAGACAUGAGCAGCUCCCGAUUAAAGGAUAUUUUAAGCAGACGGAGGGGCUGCGCCAGCCGGGGGAACGCGCAGCAGGAGAGGACGGGGACAGGACGCCUGAGAGACCAGAGGAGAAGACAAUUUACGCUGGAAUGUAAAUACAGCGGCAGCACGCUGCUCCGCAGGGCGUGUCACCCCCCUCCUGGCUCUGGAACACGGGUUAGAGCUGCCCAGGACGGCUCAGGCCACAUCCCUGCCGUGCCAGAAGCUGCAUCUCACCUGGGCACCGCGCAGAGUGCCUCCACAGGUCACGUCUUCUGCUAUCACAUCCUGCUGCCAGGCGUACGAGCUGCACGUAUCAAAGCUGAGCCAUGUCUUAUCUCCUGGCUGUUCCUGCCUGCUCCCAGCCUGUGAAUCCUGGCUGCAGGGUGUUUGCACUGCUUCCCCGGCACUGUGGGUUGUGGCGGAUUUGGGGUGCCAGCUUCAGGGUGAGGGGCACCCCAGGGCAGGUCUCUGGGGUGCAGGUUGGAAGGGCUAGCACAGACACGGCCCUUAUCUGCCAGGAGGAUGCUGGUCCUUGCUGUAAGGUCAACCUUAAAUAAUGGGAAUAAUAAAAAGAAGACUGCCUGGAGGAAAGGAGAGAGC
rnacentral:lncRNA from 1 species